rnacentral:rRNA from 1 species
CAGGCCUAACACAUGCAAGUCGAACGCCCCGCAAGGGGAGUGGCAGACGGGUGAGUAACACGUGGGAACGUACCCUUCGGUUCGGAACAACCCUGGGAAACUAGGGCUAAUACCGGAUACGCGCGACAGCAGAAAGGUUGACCGCCGAGGGAUCGGUCCGUGUCUGAUGAACGAGUUGGUGAGGUAUCGGGUCACCAAGGCGACGAUCAGUCAACUGGUCUGAUAAGAUGAUCAGGCACAUUGGGACUGAGACACGGCCCAAACUCCUACGGGAGGCAGCAGUGGGGAAUAUUGGACAAUGGGCGCAAGCCUGAUCCAGCCAUGCCGAGUGAGUGAUGACGGCCCUAGGGUUGUAAAGCUCGUUUACCUGGGAAGAUAAUGACGGUACCAGGAGAAUAAGCCCCGGCUAACUACGUGCCAGCAGCCGCGGUAAU